UCGUGGCACGAACCGGUACUAAAGGUCUCAACCCCAUUAGUACCGGUUCGUGCCACGAACCGGUACUAAUGGGGUUGAGACCUUUAGUACCGGUUCGUGCCACGAA
rfam:Triticum aestivum genome assembly, contig: Triticum_aestivum_CS42_TGACv1_scaffold_252411_3DL